GACUCCACGAUCCUUGAUAUUGACGUCAUGAGGACAGGGGUUACUCGGAAAGCAGGAUUUACUAUAUUCUUAGUUUUGGUUUCGACAGCGAUUGAGCGAUGGUGUUUCAUAGUGUGGUUAGGUGGUUUGGUGGCGAAUUUGGGCUGUUAUGGUUGAUACCUUUUUACGGCGAGAAGGAAAUGAGGCUUCUCUGGUGAAAACUAAGACUGAAUUUAUGGUUUAAAGAACUACACUACAGGCAGAGUCGUGGAUUUUUGUAAAAUCUAAAACACUUGUCUUGACUCUGACUACGAUUGUGACAGGAAAAAAUAAAUGCUGAAGCUAAAUUCUUAAGCCAGGUAACUUCGUCUCAAGCUGCGAAAAAUGGAUUUUCCUUUCACAAGUUUGUCUUCGUACAAACCAGCCGCAGAUCUUUUGAUUUACAGGAUGGUUCAUGGAACGGUGAUAUUCAGUACAAAGCAAGGAACACUUCUGUUAUUGAAGAAACUGAGUGGACGUUGCUUUUGCUCCACAAUAUUUUUUGAAGAAUGGUGAGAAUGGAGCCUGGCGUUGCUGAUGUCUUCCACUUUAUUACAAAUGAUAAUCCUAUGUUGAUGGCUCGAAAUUAAUACUUCAAUAAUUAGUACUAAAUGAGGCACAAGAGUUAUGACCUUAAUUACCUUAAUGAUAACAAUUGUUAGCUUUCUCGCCUUGGAUUCAAAAGUAAAAUAUUUAAAGGGUAUUUUAUGCUAAUUGCCUGGAUCAGGUAGAAAGGUGAUCGUAUCUCAUAGUCCCAAGGUUUACCAUUCUGUGUUAAGUGACAUUUUUUACUUUUUGAAACCAGCACUCAAACCGUAUGUGCUGUUUCUUCGUCUUAUCAUUUUACUUUAUUCAGUCAUACUUUGUUCAAGCCUAAAGAUGCGAGACAUUUAGAUAUUUGUUUCUAGGUAUUGUCUUGAAAAAUUUAUUGAAGUACUGAAAAUAACUUUUUAACUAUUGACUGUUACUUAUUCCUGAUUACUAACGAAUAUUGAAAACUGAAUAUUUGGCUUUUAAUAGCUGUUAAGCAGUUAGUGGCACCAAACACACUAAUUUUUAGUUCAGCAUAUAAAUGAAGGCCUAUAUUUUAUUUUAAAGAACAUGGUCUGAUGAGAGAAAUUUUUUAGAG